AGAGUUUGAUCCUGGCUCAGAACGAAUGCUGGCGGCAGGCUUAACACAUGCAAGUCGAACGCAUCCUUCGGGGUGAGUGGCAGACGGGUGAGUAACGCGUGGGAACGUGCCCUUCAGUUCGGAAUAACCCAGGGAAACUUGGGCUAAUACCGGAUACGUGCGAGAGCAGAAAGAUUUAUCGCUGAAGGAUCGGCCCGCGUCUGAUUAGCUGGUUGGUGGGGUAAUGGCCCACCAAGGCGACGAUCAGUAGCUGGUCUGAGAGGAUGAUCAGCCACAUUGGGACUGAGACACGGCCCAAACUCCUACGGGAGGCAGCAGUGGGGAAUAUUGGACAAUGGGCGCAAGCCUGAUCCAGCCAUGCCGCGUGAGUGAUGACGGCCUUAGGGUUGUAAAGCUCUUUCGUCCGGGACGAUAAUGACGGUACCGGAAGAAGAAGCCCCGGCUAACUUCGUGCCAGCAGCCGCGGUAAUACGAAGGGGGCUAGCGUUGUUCGGAAUCACUGGGCGUAAAGGGCGCGUAGGCGGCUUUGUAAGUCGGGGGUGAAAGCCUGUGGCUCAACCACAGAAUUGCCUUCGAUACUGCAUGGCUUGAGACCGGAAGAGGUUAGUGGAACUGCGAGUGUAGAGGUGAAAUUCGUAGAUAUUCGCAAGAACACCAGUGGCGAAGGCGGCUGACUGGUCCGGAUCUGACGCUGAGGCGCGAAAGCGUGGGGAGCAAACAGGAUUAGAUACCCUGGUAGUCCACGCCGUAAACGAUGAAUGCCAGCCGUUGGCGAGCUUGCUCGUCAGUGGCGCAGCUAACGCUUUAAGCAUUCCGCCUGGGGAGUACGGUCGCAAGAUUAAAACUCAAAUGAAUUGACGG
rnacentral:rRNA from 1 species